AAUGAACGCUGGCGGCGUGCUUUACACAUGCAAGUAGAGCGAGGCCAGGUAGCAAUACCUGAGUCGAGCGGCGCACGGGUGAGUAACGCGUGGAUAACCUGCCUGAAGGUGGGGGAUAACCCGGGGAAACUCGGGCUAAUACCGCAUAACACCGAGAGGUCAAAGGGGGCUCGCAAGGGCUCUCGCCGGCAGAGGGGUCCGCGUCCGAUUAGCUAGUUGGCAGGGUAAUGGCCUACCAAGGCGACGAUCGGUAGCCGGCCUGAGAGGGUGAUCGGCCACACUGGAACUGAGACACGGUCCAGACUCCUACGGGAGGCAGCAGUGGGGAAUUUUGCGCAAUGGGCGAAAGCCUGACUCAGCAACGCCGCGUGGAGGAUGAAGGUCUUCGGAUUGUAAACUCCUGUCAGUGGGGAAAAAGGGGAACGUGCUCAUACCACGUUUCAUUGAUUGUACCCGCAGAGGAAGCCCCGGCUAACUCUGUGCCAGCCGCCGCCGUAAAAC
rnacentral:rRNA from 1 species